rnacentral:precursor_RNA from 9 species
CAAAACGCAGACGCACACACGCCGCUUUUUACGUUGGCCGUACGAACAGGGGUUCCAGUGCAGAUACUUUGUUCGUUCGGCUCGCGUUAUGGUCGGUGCUAACACAAAUUAUCCAUAAC